rnacentral:rRNA from 1 species
GACGAACGCUGGCGGCGUGCUUAACACAUGCACGUCGAACGGAGUGGCGAACGGGUGAGUAACACGUGGGUGCUCUGCCUUGCACUCUGGGAUAAUCUUGGGAAACUGGGUCUAAUACCGGAUAGUGCAAGAUGAGCUCGCGGCCUAGCCGCUGGUUGGUGGGGUAAUGGCCUACCAAGGCGUCGACGGGUAGCCGGCCUGAGAGGGUGUACGGCCACAUUGGGACUGAGAUACGGCCCAGACGCAGACGGGAGGAAGCAGUGGGGAAGAUGGGACAAUGGGAGGAAGCCUGAUGCAGCGACGCUGCGGGGGGGAUGACGGCCUUCGGGUUGGAAACUCCUUUCGACAGGGACGCGGUACCUGUAUAAGAAGCACCGGCUAACUACGUGCCAGCAGCCGCGGUAAUAC